rnacentral:rRNA from 1 species
AGUCGUAACAAGGUUUCCGUAGGUGAACCUGCGGAAGGAUCAUUACCUAGAGUUUGUAGACUUCGGUCUGCUACCUCUUACCCAUGUCUUUUGAGUACCUUCGUUUCCUCGGCGGGUCCGCCCGCCGAUUGGACAACAUUCAAACCCUUUGCAGUUGCAAUCAGCGUCUGAAAAAACAUAAUAGUUACAACUUUCAACAACGGAUCUCUUGGUUCUGGCAUCGGUGAAGAACGCAGCGAAAUGCGAUAAGUAGUGUGAAUUGCAGAAUUCAGUGAAUCAUCGAAUCUUUGAACGCACAUUGCGCCCCUUGGUAUUCCAUGGGGCAUGCCUGUUCGAGCGUCAUUUGUACCUUCAAGCUCUGCUUGGUGUUGGGUGUUUGUCUCGCCUCUGCGUGUAGACUCGCCUUAAAACAAUUGGCAGCCGGCGUAUUGAUUUCGGAGCGCAGUACAUCUCGCGCUUUGCACUCAUAACGACGACGUCCAAAAGUACAUUUUUACACUCUUGACCUCGGAUCAGGUAGGGAUACCCGCUGAACUUAAGCA